GGAAGUGUUAGAGGUUUCAUGGCAAAGUUUGAUGGCCUAUAUAUCAGGCGAUAUGCAACGGAGUAUAACGAUGGAAACGAAUCAACUAAGCAUAACAAAGCUAGAAACGGUGUCAAGGUCACGACCAUUUUGCGUGUGAAAUCUUCAUAGUGGAACUGCUCCUGAUCUUCCUGAAUGAACUCACUGGACUCCUCGAACUCGUUUCCUGCACCCGAUGCUACCCAAAGAAAUAAAUAGAAAAUAAACACCAGCAAAUGAUGAGGCAACAGCCAAUAUGAUGCAUGCAUGGCACACACUUCAAGCACGCACAAAAAUAACCCUACUAAACUGACAAGUACCACCUCAUCACAAAAUGACACUUCUGCAGAUCUGCUCAAAACUGGAAUCCAGUUCCACCAUUGGAUUCGUUGGGGUUUUCUACCCCAAAUCCAUAUAUCAUACUGCUAUACUUUCAUGCAUAAAAACACCACAAGACUAAAAAGGAAAUCUACUUAGAAUCAUAAACCACUAUUUGUCAAAAUCAGAGGUUGAUUUUGCAAAUUCCUCUUCUAAAAUAUUCCAGAUUUGGAAAAUACAUCACAACCAAAAAAACAACACACACAUAAAUCAACAGGGGGGUCCCACUGGUCAUAGGCACCAGGUCCCGAGUGCAUGAUAGGUGGGCCCUGUGGCCCACUGUCAGCGUCUAAUCUACAGUACACAAGAAUUAACAAAGAAACUAAAAACGGUAAGAGGGGGGUCGAACCCACAAUCUCCCAAGUGUAGAACCCAGCCCCCACCACUGGGCCACACUCAUGUAGCUCCACUAACUGGGGUAGUAAUACAUAUAUGUAGUCUCUGCAACUUAGCAACAGAAGGAAAACAAUACCCAAAAGGGGUGCGCGCAAGGAGACUCGAACCAACUACCUCACGCGUAGAUGUGUCUCUACUGCCACUGCGGUAUGAUGUUGCUGCUGGUCUAACACAUGAAUCGAACAAGGCAACAUAUCACAACCUACCACAUCACCGAAGGAAAUAAAAGGGGAGUGCUGGGUUUCAAACCCACGACUAAGGCCGUCGCGCUGCUCAGCGAACCAAUCGGUCUAGGAGGGGGGAUCUGCUGUGAGAGGGGAUCCACACUAGCUAAAAACGAAACAAGGCAUCUUCCCUGGAGCAGAGGGACGCCGACGAUGAAUCCUGCCGGUGCCAUAUAGCACGCGCACGACGGUGCUACGGGCCCUAUCCUACGCGACGCGUGCCACGAAGCAGAUCGACUGCUAGGCGAUGCAAAACUACUGCGCUGAUGGAGUUGCUACCCGAAGCUGUUGCUGCUACUACACUACGCGGGCUGCUGCUGCUGCUACAGGGCCGCGCGGCAGAGCAACGCGCCGACGAUGCGGGCUACGGUGAGGCUACAGACAGCGAGGGGAAAAUGAAGAUGCGUCUGCUCACCUAGGACGUGGAGGAGAAGGGCUCACGCGACGAAGAGGGGAGGAUGACGUCGACGAACUGCUGCAGAAGUAGCCGCCGGAGGUGCCGAAGAAUGUUAGAGUUGGAAAGAUCAAAGGGAGAGGAAACUCGUGCAAU
rnacentral:lncRNA from 1 species